rnacentral:rRNA from 1 species
UACGUAGGGGGCAAGCGUUGUCCGGAAUCAUUGGGCGUAAAGCGCGUGUAGGCGGCCCGGUAAGUCCGCUGUGAAAGUCCAGGGCUCAACCCUGGGAUGCCGGUGGAUACUGUCGGGCUCGAGUCCGGAAGAGGUGAGUGGAAUUCCCGGUGUAGCGGUGAAAUGCGCAGAUAUCGGGAGGAACACCAAUUGCGAAGGCAGCUCGCUGGGACGUUACUGACGCUGAGACGCGAAAGCGUGGGGAGCAAACAGG